AGCACUUGCACACAAGACACACACAGGUGUCUGGUUUUGUGGUGCAUGAACGACUUUUCUAAGUGAGAGACACAGCAGCCUGAGCAGACUCAGGUGAGUGACCUCUGGGCAGAUGCCGAGGAGGGUCAUCCCCGAGCACUCACCGGGUGCAUGUUCUGCAUUGACGGCGUGGACCAUCCUCCCCUUUGUCCUCACAGAGACUGUGGUGAUGGGUGCUGUCCCCAAAUGUAGCCAUUCCACAGGAAAACAAAGUCCCCUCCUGUAUUGACAGCUGGGAAUUGUGGUGUCCACCGUCCUCGACCUGCGACAGGGUCUCCACAAGCACAGAGGCUGCUCUGGAGUCAAUAGAUCAUCUUUUCCCCAAACCAAACUGCUUGGCUGGUGUUGUUCCUGAAGCGGCUUCACUGGCCAGAGUGAGUGAGAAUUGGGGUAGAACGGAGCAGUCACCAGAUGUCUUGCUUCCUACAGAAAACUGAGUAUCUUCCUGGUCCCUGAACGAUCCUAUUAGAGACAUCCAGUCCCUGACUCCACCUGCCUCCAGGUGCCCAGAACAGCCCAUCGUGGGGACUUCACCCUC
rnacentral:sRNA from 1 species